rnacentral:rRNA from 1 species
AAUGAACGUUGGCGGCGUGGAUUAGGCAUGCAAGUCGCGCGCGAUUUUACGGAUUGAAACUUCGGUCGAUUGAAGUAAAUGAAAGCGGCGAAAGGGAGAGUAACGCGUGGAUAUCUGCCCUUGGCUCCAGAAUAGCUACGGGAAACUGUAGGUAAUGCUGGAUAAUAUCUCCGGAUCAAAGGUGUGAUUCCGGCCGAGGAUGAGUCCGCGUCCUAUUAGAUUGUUGGUGGGGUAAUGGCCUACCAAGUCGAAGAUGGGUACCGGGUGUGAGAGCAUGGCCCGGCUCACUGGGACUGAGACACUGCCCAGACGUCUACGGACGGCUGCAGUCGAGAAUCUUCCGCAAUGGGCGCAAGCCUGACGGAGCGACGCCGCGUGCGGGAUGAAGGCCUGGUUGUAACGCUGUCAGUUGGAGGAAAGUGCUAUGGGGUUCGUCGUCCACUAGUUUG